ensembl:lncRNA
GAGGAGCGGUGAGAGCAGAGAGAGAGAGGAGGAGCGGUGAGAGCAGAGAGAGAGAGAGUUGGAGCGGUGAGAGCAGAGAGAGAGAGGAGGGGAGCGGUGAGAGCAGAGAGAGAGAGUGGAGCGGUGAGAGCAGAGAGAGAGAGAGGUGGAGCGGUGAGAGCAGAGAGAGAGAGAGGUGGAGCGGUGAGAGCAGAGAGAGAGAGAGGUGGAGCGGUGAGAGCAGAGAGAGAGAGAGGUGGAGCGGUGAGAGCAGAGAGAGAGAGAGGUGGAGCGGUGAGAGCAGAGAGAGAGAGAGUUGGAGCGGUGAGAGCAGAGAGAGAGAGGUGGAGCGGUGAGAGCAGAGAGAGAGAGAGGUGGAGCGGUGAGAGCAGAGAGAGAGAGAGGUGGAGCGGUGAGAGCAGAGAGAGAG